UGCCCUCGAGAGCUCCCAGCCGGGACAAACGCCGCACACAUCCUUCCGAACUGCCCUGGCUGUGGACGUGCACCCAGCCCAGGGGAGGAGGCUGAGCCGCCUCCACACAGCCCUGGCUCCCCUCCCCAGGGCGAGCAGAUCCAUAAUGUGGUAUCCAAAGUCCAUGAGCACCAUCCUGUGGCUGCAGCUAGUCAGAGUACUGUGACAACAGUAAAAGGUCCUGAGGAUCCCAGUGGCUACAUGCUGAGACUUCAUCAACCAUCCUGAGAGAGCGCUGAAUCUGGUGGGCAGGCCCUGGGACACUGCCAGCAUGGAGGUAGGGUGCCCUGAGUAAAGAGGAAAGACUAGACUUUGUGAUGUUUGGAUCUACCAGCACCUGGAAAUAGCAAGCCUUGGCUGCCUGCCUCUCCUCAGCCUUGCCAAGCUGCCCUGCAGAUGUACAUCCACACCCCUUGAUUUUCCUGCUGGGAGAAUCGCCCGCUGGCCAAACCAAAGCCCCACUCCCUCGCAGGGAGCUGCCUGCAGCAGGGUUGGACAGCUGAGCCAGUGUUGUUCAGGAGCUGGGAUGAGGAUGACUGCAGGAUGCUUCUACGGGAUGUCGGAGGCUGGCUGCACGCAUGGGUGUGGAAUUGCGCAAUUACCUUAAAGCCAAGUAUUAAACAAAA